rnacentral:rRNA from 1 species
UCAGCCUACGGGACGCAGCAGUGAGGAAUAUUGGUCAAUGGUCGGGAGACUAAACCAGCCAAGCCGCGUGAGGGAUGAAGGUACAGAGUAUCGUAAACCUCUUUUGUCAGGGAACAAAGGCGGGGACGUGUCCCCGGAUGAGUGUACCUGAAGAAAAAGCAUCGGCUAACUCCGUGCCAGCAGCCGCGGUAAUACGGAGGAUGCGAGCGUUAUCCGGUUUUAUUGGGUUUAAAGGGGGCGCAGGCGGUCUGUUAAGCCAGCGGUCAACGCCCGGG